UAUGAACGCUAGCGGGAGGCCUAACACAUGCAAGCUGAGCGGUAGAGAUCUUUCGGGAUCUUGAGAGCGGCGUACGGGUGCGGAACACGUGUGCAACCUGCCUUUAUCAGGGGGAUAGCCUUUCGAAAGGAAGAUUAAUACUCCAUAAUAUAAUAGAUGGCAUCAUUUAUUAUUGAAAACUGAGGUGGAUAGAGAUGGGCACGCGCAAGAUUAGAUAGUUGGUGAGGUAACGGCUCACCAAGUCGAUGAUCUUUAGGGGGCCUGAGAGGGUGAUCCCCCACACUGGUACUGAGACACGGACCAGACUCCUACGGGAGGCAGCAGUGAGGAAUAUUGGACAAUGGGUUAGCGCCUGAUCCAGCCAUCCCGCGUGAAGGACGACGGCCCUAUGGGUUGUAAACUUCUUUUGUACAGGGAUAAACCUAUCUACGUGUAGAUAGCUGAAGGUACUGUACGAAUAAGCACCGGCUAACUCCGUGCCAGCAGCCGCGGUAAUACGGAGGGUGCAAGCGUUAUCCGGAUUUAUUGGGUUUAAAGGGUCCGUAGGCGGAUGCGUAAGUCAGUGGUGAAAUCUCACAGCUUAACUGUGAAACUGCCAUUGAUACUGCGUGUCUUGAGUNAGGUAGAAGUGGCUGGAAUAAGUAGUGUAGCGGGUGAAAUUCCAUAGAUUUUACUNNGAA
rnacentral:rRNA from 1 species